AUGUACUAUAUUUUGAAACAAGGUGGUACCCACUCUCCAAGUCUCCUCUAUUUAGCGGUCGACCUCUGUGAGUGGUGCCUAGCAGAUCAUAUCUGCCUCACAGCUUUAGACAUUGCCAGCCAUGACAACAACUUGGAUGAUCUACUCAACCACACAAACUCUCAAGCUCACGAAUGGGAGUUAGACCAAUCAGUUUUUCUUCACCUAUGUGAAUGGUGGGGCAAACCAGCUCUUGACCUCUUCACCUCAGAAGUGCAAACGAUAUUGCUCCUGAGCUGGCAUUGGCAAACAUUCCUAAGGAGAUGCAUUCGUCAGCCAAUGGCCCAAGACCCUCACUUACCUUUCUCCGCCGUUCCCACUUCUCCACAAGGUUGUGGUUCGCCUAUAACAAGACAAACCCAAUGCCAUCGUUAUAGCCCCUUGGUGGCUGGGACAACCCUGGUUUUCAGUCCUUCACAAUCUCUCAUCAGACAUUCACCACCUGUCUCACCUGCCCCACCUCCUCACAUAGAACAAUGCCCAAGUACUCCACCCAAACUUACCUGUACUGCACCUGGCAGCAUGGAGGAUUCCGCCUUGCUAAUGAAUGUCCUCUGUCAAUCAAAGAAGCCCUCCACUAGAAAGGCUUACCUGUACAAAUGGAACAGAUUCAAAUCCUUCACUGAAUCUUCUUCAUUGCCUUCUAUCAACCCAUCACUUGCUACUGUUCUAUGUUUUUCGCUUCAUCUCAAGUCUAGCAGCUUUUCCCUCCCUUCCUUGAGAGUUUACCUCUCCGCCAUAGUUUCUUAUCAGCCCUCUAACUCUCUGGAUUUCUUCAAGCAUCCAACAUUGAAACAUUUUUUAAAAGGUCUACAUCAUAUCUACCUAGAUACCUGCCCAUCUACCCCGCAAUUGUCACUAACACUAGUACUGCAACAACUUACUAAAGCUCCUUUCGAAUCUUUAGCUUCAACUGAUUUACAGCUACUUACCUUUAAAACGGUUUUCCUCGUUGCCAUCACCUCAGCUGAAUGA
rnacentral:lncRNA from 1 species